GACAGAGGGGGCAAGCGUUGCUCGGAUUCACUGGGCGUAAAGGGUGCGUAGGUGGCGAGGUUAGUCAGGUGUGAAAUCUCGGGGCUCAACCCCGAAACUGCACUUGAUACUGCCUUGCUAGAGUACUGGAGAGGAGAUUGGAAUUUACGGUGUAGCAGUGAAAUGCGUAGAUAUCGUAAGGAAGACCAGUGGCGAAGGCGAAUCUCUGGACAGUUACUGACACUGAGGCACGAAGGCCAGGGGAGCAAACGGG
rnacentral:rRNA from 1 species